rnacentral:sRNA from 1 species
UUGCUUACGAGCGUUGUGCUUAAGGUA